UUGAACUGUUGGGUUUAAAGGAUCCUUCAGCCUCCCAAAGUGCUGGGAUUAUAGGUCUGAAUCACCCUGCCUGACCCCCUCGUAAUUUUUAUAGCCUGAACUGGAAACCAAAUGGCCAUCAACAGGUGAAGGGAUAAAGAAACUUCCAUCCAUACAAUGGAAUACUACUCAGCAAGAAAAAGGAACGAACCAUUGAUAAACAAAGCAAUGUGGAUGCAUUCUGCAGACAGCAUGCUGAGGGAAGGAAGCCAGACUCAAAAGACUGUGAUCUCCUGAGGGGGACUGUCAUAGCCCAGCCCCAGCCCAGAGCCUGUCACAUAGGAUGACAUCAGGAAAUGUCUGCUAUGGAAUGAAGGCAGGGUGGCUCUAUUUCCUCUACAUGCCUCCGGUGCCAAGACACACCUGAUCAGCAUUCUGGAUGCAGGCACUCCCCAUCACCCCUUACUUACAGAAAUGGGCCACAGGAUGAAGGGUAUGUAUCUAUGAAUGGCAAAGCUGUACAGUAAGAUGAAGAAGCUGAAGAAGGAUAUCUCCAUGGUGAUGAUAAGCCUCAAGAUGGGGUGCACGCGGCGACACCCCCUCCUCGUGCCCACUUCGUGCUUGGGCUGCACCGCCUUUUGAGGUUUGUCCGAUGGCUCCUUACCGUCCUUCUUGUCUUCCUCGGGUUUGGCCCCGGGUGGAGGUGGAGCUGGUGCUG
rnacentral:lncRNA from 1 species